UAUAAGGAGGCUCUCAUUUCUGGUAGAGUGCUCAGACUCCUCUACUAAAAGGCUUAUCUCUACCUCUUCAACUGACCAUCAGAUUCUCAAGUCUUCAAAGAAUGAGAGCUGUGACCUGGAGUUGCCACAUUGAGCAAUAAAGCUCAGCUGUGCCUCAGGGCUGUGUUUCAGAGCCACCACACUGAGUUAUAACACUUGGCUAUAGCACAGAGCUGCUCCUCUCUGCUGCAACACUUCUGAGCAUCCCAAUACCAAGCCCUAACUUCCAGGGGAACCUCUUCCCCACCCCACCCAAUGGCUGGUGCAGGCCCAAGACCACACCUUGGCAUUGCUAUGGACAAGAGGCCCUGCGAAAAGCCACUGUCACCUUUUAAGGGAAAGAGAGUCAGGCCUGGGCACUGAUGGGCAGCCCUGAGAAAGGUUUCCUCUACUAUGAUGUCAUACAGAAAGGGUGGGGUGUGGCAGAAUGUGGGUGAGCACCGUUACCAAGGCACUUGCCACACAGGUGGCUGCCAGAAAGGUUCUAGCAGACCUAGGGUCAGCACCCUACUUGUCUAGAUCUGUGCGACUGAACCUUGCCCUGUCAUGUUUUCCCUUUAUUUCUGGGCUACACUGUUGCUGCACUGGCAACAGAUGUGCCUGCCCAUCCUGGCUGUCCCACAGCCAGGCUGGACCCCCAUACUGAGUUCACCUGAACUCUGCACCCCUAGCAGCUAAUAAGGCCUCAUCCCUCGAUUCUGAUCUCCCGCACGAAUCACUCACUGCUCUUACUCCCCCAGAAGAGCCUGGGGGCUUUGUUUACCCAGAUUCCUCGGUGCCCACCAAGAUGUUUUCUCCACCUCAGAGGUUUGCGGGACAGCUGUCCCCAGAGCUGGAAAAGGUUGCCGCCCCACCUCAAGGUCUGUGUGCCAAGCUACCUUGGCAAGAGAGGCUCCGAAAACUGCUUCUGAGGUCUGCAGCUGUUCACGCAAGGCCAGCAGAGGCACAGAAGAGCCAGAGUGGAAGAUCCAGAGGCCACGUGGAACUCCAGCAAAGAGGCCGAGCCUGCAGAAUCAGCCAGUUACAAGGAGAGUGAUGAUGAGCUACUGGAGAUGCUCACCUACUGACCUCAUCUUGCGAGUGACCAGCAAAGCUUAUUUUUCCCUCAUCAAUAAAGACUUUCUCAUCUCCUAUUAAAAAAAAAAGAAACUGGACAUCCUUGUCUUGUUCCUGAUUUUAGUGUGAAGGAUUUCAGUUUUUGACCAUUUAGUAUGAUAUUGGCUGUUGGUUUUUC
rnacentral:lncRNA from 1 species